rnacentral:rRNA from 1 species
UAGGGAAUCUUCGGCAAUGGACGAAAGUCUGACCGAGCAACGCUGCGUGAGUGAAGAAGGUUUUCGGAUCGUAAAACUCUGUUGUUAGAGAAGAACAAGGACGUUAGUAACUGAACGUCCCCUGACGGUAUCUAACCAGAAAGCCACGGCUAACUACGUGCCAGCAGCCGCGGUAAUACGUAGGUGGCAAGCGUUGUCCGGAUUUAUUGGGCGUAAAGCGUGCGCAGGCGGUUUCUUAAGUCUGAUGUGAAAGCCCCCGGCUCAACCGGGGAGGGUCAUUGGAAACUGGGAGACUUGAGUGCAGAAGAGGAGAGUGGAAUUCCAUGUGUAGCGGUGAAAUGCGUAGAUAUAUGGAGGAACACCAGUGGCGAAGGCGGCUCUCUGGUCUGUAACUGACGCUGAGGCUCGAAAGCGUGGGGAGCAAACAGG